UGGGGAAUUUUGGACAAUGGGCGAAAGCCUGAUCCAGCAAUGCCGCGUGUGUGAAGAAGGCCUUCGGGUUGUAAAGCACUUUUGUCCGGAAAGAAAUCCUUGGCUCUAAUACAGUCGGGGGAUGACGGUACCGGAAGAAUAAGCACCGGCUAACUACGUGCCAGCAGCCGCGGUAAUACGUAGGGUGCAAGCGUUAAUCGGAAUUACUGGGCGUAAAGCGUGCGCAGGCGGUUUGCUAAGACCGAUNUGAAAUCCCGGCUCAACUGGGAACUGCAUUGGUGACUGGCAGGCUAGAGUAUGGCAGAGGGGGGUAGAAUUCCACGUGUAGCAGUGAAAUGCGUAGAGAUGUGGAGGAUACCGAUGGCGAAGGCAGCCCCCUGGGCCAAGUACUGACGCUCAUGCACGAAAAGCGU
rnacentral:rRNA from 1 species